CCAGCACCCCGAGUGGUCGGGACGAUUAUUGGGCCUAAAGCAUCCGUAGCCGGUUCUGCAAGUCCCCCGUUAAAUCCAGCUGCUCAACAGAUGGGCCGCGGAGGAUACUACAGAGCUAGGAGGCAGGAGAGGCAAGCGGUACUCAGUGGGUAGGGGUAAAAUCCGUUGAUCCAUUGAAGACCACCAGUGGCGAAGGCGGCUUGCCAGAAUGCGCUCGACGGUGAGGGAUGAAAGCUGGGGGAGCAAACCGGAUUAGAUACCCGGGUAGUCCCAGCCGUAAACGAUGCAGACUCGGUGAUGGGUUGGCCUCGCGCUAACCCAGUGCCGCAGGGAAGCCGUUAAGUCUGCCGCCUGGGUAGUACGGUCGCAAGGCUG
rnacentral:rRNA from 1 species